CGGCCAUUGGCUGAAGAGAAAAUCAAAAGAAAACUACGCGAGACAGCGUUUCAUUCAUGAAUAUUUCAUGAAUGAACAUUUUCCUACACUAUUUUUUACUAUGUACGAUAUUUACAACUGUUUAUUAUUGAAUAAGUAAAAGCCAGAGUGUAUCGAAAGAGUCCGGUAUGUGAGAACAAGUUGAUAUUUGACCAAGUUGUCGGAUAAUUGACAAGUGAUAAUGGUUUGAAUUAUUUUAACAAUACACAGGUAAUAGAAUAUAAAAUAAUCGAUAAUUAUAUGGCUUAUGUCUCACGCCAAGGACUAGUAAAGGUAAAUACCGGCUUUAAUAGAAAAGUGCAUUGUUUUUGUCAAACUGACAUAGAUGUGAAAGUUUUGAUGCCAAAAAUCAUUUGAAAACUUUUAUUCCGUUAUUUAAAUACUAACUGUUUCACAUUCCAAUGUGGAUAUAAGGACCUUCACUCGUUCAGCAUGCUCAAGUGGAACAAACUGACAACAGAAAAACAUUGUGUAAUGACAAUUAGUAUCAUAGCAUCCGUAUAAU
rnacentral:lncRNA from 1 species